UCCAGACUCCUACGGGAGGCAGCAGUGAGGAAUAUUGGUCAAUGGGCGGAAGCCUGAACCAGCCAAGUCGCGUGAGGGAAGAAGGCCCUGCGGGUCGCAGACCUCUUUGGACGGGGAGCAAGGCCGCCGACGUGUCGGCGGAAGGAGAGUACCCGUAGAACAAGCAUCGGCUAACUCCGUGCCAGCAGCCGCGGUAAUACGGAGGAUGCGAGCGUUAUCCGGAUUUAUUGGGUUUAAAGGGUGCGCAGGCGGAAGAUCAAGUCAGCGGUAAAAUUGAGAGGCUCAACCUCUUCGAGCCGUUGAAACUGGUUUUCUUGAGUGAGCGAGAAGUAUGCGGAAUGCGUGGUGUAGCGGUGAAAUGCAUAGAUAUCGCGCAGAACCCCGAUUGCGAAGGCAGCGUACCGGCUCCACACUGACGCUGAGGCACGAAAGCGUGGGUAUCGAACAGGAUUAGAUACCCCCGUAG
rnacentral:rRNA from 1 species